GCGCACGUGCUUAUGAUAUAUGUGAACAGCAUUAAAUUUGUAAAUUAAUGACCUAAUCCUAGAUAUAAAUUUAAUACAAUCAUAUAAAAAUUCAAACCUUCUCGAUAUUAACUUAAGUCAAAUCACUACCGAGAGAAUAAGUAUUAUAAAAAAGUUAUGUGAUAAACAAAUUAUUAAAUCUACUUCUAAAGAACACGUAAAUUAUCAGGCAGCUCAAAAUGUGUAUAGUCGUAUAAUUAGCUGAACAAUGGAUACAGCGGUGGAAUGGUAAAUCGUUGAUGUCAUACUACAGCUGUCACCACCCAAAUUUUCGAGCAUGUCUCUAAAUUAUUCUAUUAAUCAAUCACAAACACAAAUAAUUAAAUCUUCAAUUUAUUUCUAUUGUAAAAGUAAAAAUAUUUAUUUAUAUUUUUAUUUUCGGUUAUUCAUCAAACCAUAUCACAUACGGUCAUUUCACCAUUGCCGCCACCAACCAAAUCACUAAAUGACCAACGAAAAUUAGCCGACGAAUUCAAUCAUUUCUUUUCUGAUACGCAGCCAUUAGCGGAAACGGAUGACUACUUACGAUUCAGUCUUAUCAACAAUUUUUUUAGUGCCAAAUCGUAGUUAGAAUAUGCAUCCCGCGCAAACCUACCUAUUGAGAACAUCAUCAUCAUCGAGUUUUAUAAACAUGGAGCAAGAUGGUCAUACAUCUAAUAUAAAUAAAAGAAACAGAAAUCAAUUUGCUUCUGUCAGAGUUGGGCAAACCAGUCAAGGUUUCUUUGAGUAAGCAAUUCAUAAUGGACCCAUUGGAAGACAUUCCAACUGGGAUUUUACAGUUACCAUUUUACAACAAAGGAGUCGAGUAAGUCACACGUCUGACAGAAAAUAUAAAUUUUUAAAACUGAAAUUAUUAUUAUUAUUAUUAUAUAUAUAAUUAUUAUUUACUUAUCAUUUUUCCGUAUGAUUUGCGUUAUACUAUCAAUGACCAUACUACCCAUUUCUACAGCGUCGUAAAUUACGGCGCCAUCGGUGUGAUCAUCGGACACGAAAUCAUGCACGGAUUCGACUUCGAAGAUAACGACAGAUUAUCUACGAUAAAAUUUACUGAAGGCUGAAUUUGUAUUAGAAUACAAAUAAAUUACUUAGAAUAUUGAGAAAUAUUGGUAUUUGAUAAAGAUAAAAACAUUCAAAAAAAUUACUCACAACCGUUUAUUGUAAACUAUUAUGGACCUAAUUUUAAUCAUAUUUGUAACUCAACUUGA